GUCAUAGCAUGAGAAGUGUGCCUCACUGCCUGGCCUGAGCUGGUCACCCACACCAUAGAAGACAGAACUCUGUCUUUGGAAGGCCCCUUGUUAGCCACAGUCCCUAGACUUACUGGUCCCUUGAAGGGAAGUGUGGCCUCACAAGUAAAACCCACCAAUUAGGAGAUGCCUUUCUAAGGAGGUUUAAAAACUGAGGAGCAAAAGCAAUGAUUCUGUUCAACGUGUAAUUCUGGUGAUUUAAACUAGAUGUUUUGGUGGCCAAAAGGAUAAUUGCUAGGAAACGAAAUCAACAUUAAAGUAGAACCAGGCUGGGGAGUCGAGCGUGCCUGCCACCUUCUUCAAUGGAGAAUCAACUGGAAAGCGCCUGGGUCCGCAAAAGAAAAACAGAGCAAUCCUUUGGAGGAAGAGGAAACUGCUCUCUCCCCUGCCUUUAAAAACAAGAAGGAAAGAGAAAGAAAACAAAGGAACGCAGUCGGCAUGGAAAGAUUAUUCACCCCCCACCCCCGUUGCUGUGAUUUUCCAGGAGCGUGGUGGAGAGCCAUCGUUGGGCUGAAGUAAUGUCCAAGUAUUGUCUAAGCCGAUGACAAGACAUCAUGUGAAAGCUGGAAGCCGCGGCAGCCUUCUGGAAUCCUAGUGCUCCUACUGCAAAAAGGGAGGUGGAGUCAAGAGAGUUGCCCAGAAGUGCUCAGACAAAACUGUUAACAGCAGGGAGAGACCCAGUCUCAAAGAAGAUGGAGAGGCAGGGAAGAUGUCUCUGUUGGUGCCCAAUCACGAUGAGGACUUGCAGUUCGGAUGCCCAGCACCCAUGCCAAGCCAAAGAGAAGCAAACAUCUUUAAUCCCGAAGCCUGAGGGGACAAAGACAGGAGGAUCCUGCAGACCUGUGGGCGGUCCACCCUGGCACUCACAGUGAUGAGCAACAAGAGGUCUUGCUUCAAAGAAGGGGAAAGGAACUAAUGCCAAAAAGAUGAAGGAACUAGAGCUGCUAAGCAAUCCAAGGAGUCGUAAAGCAAUUACAUGAUCCACUAAUACCCGAGAUGAAGGAGGGAAAGUAAGUGACACUGGGUGCUGAGUUCAAGAAGGGAGGAUCAUAUUUUCUUAGUCCCAUAAGGGGCUUGCCCAUAACAGCAGACAAGGUCACGUGUGAUAGGAUGUCUGGAGUGAAAAAGAGGAAAUCAACAGAACUCGAGUUGAAACAACGCUGACCAUUCUGCAAGAAGUCAGUUAUUCUCUGUUCAUUAUAGAAGCCGGCCAUCCUGGACAUGACAUUUGAAUUUUGAUUACUCCGAAGAUACAAAGAAACUGAAACCUUCUUCCUGGGUGGGGGCAGGAAGGAAGUUCCGAAGACUCAGGAAGUCAUCGCGUCUGGGAAAGGGUUUCAAGAUCCAUCCUACGUCUAUAAGAAGGGGAAACAGGAACAUGGGGAAUAGUAUCACCUGGAGCUUCCUGCAAGUGGCGCAGUGCGCUGGAGAACUGGAGAGCUGCGGCUUCUGUGUGGCCACCGUGUUGAGGUGGGCGCUCUGGUGACACAGCAGCCUGGGGGGAGCAGACCGUCAUCCAGGAUGGGCGAGACCUCUGAUCCGGCUGCAUUUGAGUCACCUAUUGCUCCUGCGUGCAAACCCUCAACCUGCUCUGUAAGAAACUCCAAUAAACUGGUUGGUUCACCAAAA